rnacentral:rRNA from 1 species
UGGGGAAUAUUGCACAAUGGGCGCAAGCCUGAUGCAGCCAUGCCGCGUGUAUGAAGAAGGCCUUCGGGUUGUAAAGUACUUUCAGCGAGGAGGAAGGCGUUGUGGUUAAUAACCGCAGCGAUUGACGUUACUCGCAGAAGAAGCACCGGCGAACUCCGUGCCAGCAGCCGCGGUAAUACGGAGGGUGCAAGCGUUAAUCGGAAUUACUGGGUGUAAAGCGCACGCAGGCGGUCUGUCAAGUCGGAUGUGAAAUCCCCGGGCUCAACCUGGGAACUGCAUCCGAAACUGGCAGGCUAGAGUCUUGUAGAGGGGGGUAGAAUUCCAGGUGUAGCGGUGAAAUGCGUAGAGAUCUGGAGGAAUACCGGUGGCGAAGGCGGCCCCCUGGACAAAGACUGACGCUCAGGUGCGAAAGCGUGGGGAGCAAACA